AGCUUUAUAGUCAAUAAAUGAUGUUAGACUGCAAUUCUAAAGUAGUAAUUUAAUUACUAAGGCUU
rnacentral:tRNA from 1 species